GAUGAAGAACGUAGCGAAAUGCGAUACUUGGUGUGAAUUGCAGAAUCCCGUGAACCAUCGAGUCUUUGAACGCAAGUUGCGCCCGAAGCCAUCAGGUUGAGGGCACGUCUGCCUGGGCGUCACAUAUCGUUGCCCAAUGCCUAUUGCAGUGCAAUAGGAAUUUCUAGGGCGAAUGAUGGCUUCCCGUGAGCGUUGUUGCCUCGCGGUUGGUUGAAAAUCGAGUCCUUGGUAGGGUGUGCCAUGGUAGAUGGUGGUCGAGUUAGAACGAUACCGAUCAUGUGCAUGCUCCCCAAAAUAUGGCCUCUAUGACCCACACGCGUCUUUUGACGCUCAUGACGAGACCUCAGGUCAGGCGGGGCUACCCGCUGAAUUUAAGCAUAUCCAAUAAGCGGAGGA
rnacentral:misc_RNA from 1 species